GCCCCCUAGAGGAGACGCAAAUCAAAGCGCGCACACAGAUCCCUUUAAAAUAAAAUGUCCCUUUUAUUUCUCGUUCCUCUGGAUCAAAGACUCGUUAGUGGCCGAGGCGCUAAUUGGGAUGGCAGGCGGGGUCCCCCCCAGCUCCCGCCAGUCACCUCUCUCCUCUGCCUAUAGGUCUCUGCUCUACAGCCCAGGGGCUGGGGGCUGGCCCCCUACAGCGGGGGGGUUAGACGUUAAUUGGGGCUGGCUCCCUGGGAGUGGCCGGGCCCCGUGUUGCUGCCGGGCUCACUUGUCUGGCUGGCCGGCCCCUGCUCUCUCUUCUGGUGCACUCGCCCGCUCUGUCUUGCCCCCUUGCUCUCUCGUUCCCUCCUUUUUCGAUGGGCCCCUUUUCAUCUGUGCUUUUUCACUCCUUCAUUCCUUCAUUCAUCCGUUCACUCUCUCGUUCCUCCUUUCGCUCCUUCUUUCUGGCCUUUCAUUCUUUCCCCCCUCCUUCUUUCACCAUUGUUUUGCUUUUUUCCACACUUUUUUCCUUCCUUCUUUCUCUCUUCAUUCUUUUCCCCCACGCAUUCCUUCGCCUUAAUUUAUUCUUUCAACUCUUUUUGCUCAUUCAUUCCUUCGUUCAUUUAUUCAUUCAUUCGUCCAUUCAUUCUUUUUUAAUUUCUCCAUUCUUCCCCCCAUCCAUUCACUCUACUCUUUCACUUCUUCUUUCCUUCCCUUUCACUCCUUCCUUCCUCCAUUCAUCCUUUCUGCUCUCUCACACUCAUUCUUCCACUCCUCCAUUCAUCCUUCUGCUUUCCCCAUUUUCUCUCCCUUGGGAUUCUUAUAGGGAAACCCUCCUCCUUCAGCCCACAACCCUUCUCAGGGGCAUAGGCCCCUGGCAUCAAACCCAGGUAGACGGAGGGACGGGUCAGCAGGAGGCGGCCAGGGGGCGCAGCCCCGGUCUCUCUCCUUCCCCCUGUUUGGUUCUGUCCGGCCCAGCAGCACUCGGACGGGGGCGGGGAGGAGGGGCAGCCGGUCCACGUGUUAGUCAGGGGUGGGGGCCGUGGGUCGGAUUCUAGGUCAGCAAGUCCAUUCGGUAUCGGGGGCCUGGUUCCUCUUGGCUGGCGCCGACGUAAGAUGCCUGCAUGCUGGGUGAGUACUGGGGGGAGGGGGAGAGAUGGGGGGAGAGAUGAGAGGGAAUAGACUGGAGGGGAUGAUGCGACGCGCUGUACCUCAAAGCAACCUCCUGGAACCCCAGCAUUCACCCCUGUUUGGUAUCAUUUGAACGUGUGGCCUGGUGGACUGUGUGUGUUACCAUUGCGUGGGACGUUAUGAAGUUUUGCUCUCUGUGUGCUACUGAUAAUCUGUAGUGAGCGGGGAGGCCAGGGACCCCAUCCCUGCCCAUCCUGCUAACAGCCAUUGAUGGGACCGAUCCUCCAGGAACGUAUCUAGUUCCUUUUUGAACUGCCCGACCAACGGGGACUGCCUGACCCGCCAGGAUCUUUCUAGCAGCUGGAAGCAAGUAUAAAAAGGGACAGUGACAUCUUCACUUGGCCUCUCGCCUCCCCCAUCGCCACAGCCGGAAAAUGGUCCAGAAGACAAAGACUUUGAGCUAGGGAGACUGGUCCCAGGCUGGAAGGGAACCCAGCCUGGGUAGUGAGGAGCUGGGAACUGCCUGUUAGGGGGAGAGGUUGUUCGAUUCACAUCUUGCUCAGACGGUUAAAUUGAGACACCGUUUCUAGUUUUAUUUCGUAGGUAACCGACUCUGCUCUCUGAGCCUGCUACCGAGAGUCACUCUCUCUUGCUGGAGUUCAUAAACCUGUUUGAUGUUUUACCCAAACCAGCGUGGAUCCACUCCCCUUUUGCUGGAACGGCAAACUAAUGAAUGAGCUUGCAGCGUCCAAGGGAGUGCCGAGCAGUGGCAGACGGUAUAUUGCUGGGGUGCCAGGCUGGGGGGACUGGCUGGGGUCCCUCUCUGAGAGGUUCAGGGAGCCGUCACGCCAUGUCGCUGGGGUGUGCGGGGCUGCACGUGAUUGCUGCACCGGCAGGGGGUUCGCGGCUUGUCACCGCGGCGGUACU
ensembl:lncRNA